GGAUGGGCCAGUAAGGCCAGGUUCUGGAGGCAUUGAAUGAUUAGGAGGAGAACCUUGGACUCCAGAGGAUGGGGAAACUAGACUCCAGAAACUAAGGAAGCUACUAGUCUAUGGAAGUACAGCUACUUCUUUAGGAUGCACAUCUUCAAAAGCGGAGGCUGAGAAACGGACACAGGUACAAGUGUUUUAUUGGACAAGAGAUUCCAUGAUGCAGGAAUGAAGAAGAGGGAGAGUAAGACAACAAAAGAGGAAAAGCCAAGAUAAGAAUGCACUGUCAACAACACUGCUGUAGACUACAGGGGCUCCACUCCACCAGAACAUCCAUGGAGACAUGUACAGAAUGCCUCCCAGAACUGUCCACUUGAGGAGUAGGAGGUGGGAGCCUCUAUCCGCUAACUUCUGACCCCCAAUGGUUAAGGGUUCCCUCAGGGGGCCUUACCACCCCAGUAUUUCCAAGCUAUGCCUGUCUGUGGGUAGAGUAGUAGGCUCCCACAGCAUCAAAGAAGGUCCUGGAUGGCACUUGAUAUGGGAUGCUAUCCAAGCAAGCUUGCUCCAAACCACCCACUGCAGUCGCAGCUGGUAUUAGAGGUGGACCCAGAGGAUGUGACAUGGAACACUGGGGUGGGCUGCCACAAUGACAAUACCAGCAUGUUUGCUACUUAAACAUACUCCAUCCUUUUGUAUUUCCAUGCCUUUGCUUAUGCAUUUCCCUUGGAAUGUCCCUUCUCUCAUUCUGCAAACUGAAAUUAUAUUCAUUCAUCACAGUUUGGGUUGAAAUGCCACCUCCUCCUG